rnacentral:rRNA from 1 species
ACGGGAGGCAGCAGUGGGGAAUAUUGCACAAUGGGGGGAACCCUGAUGCAGCAACGCCGCGUGAAGGAAGAAGGCCUUUGGGUCGUAAACUUCUGUCCUAAGGGACGAUAGUGACGGUACCUUAGGAGGAAGCCCCGGCUAACUACGUGCCAGCAGCCGCGGUAAUACGUAGGGGGCGAGCGUUAUCCGGAAUUAUUGGGCGUAAAGAGUGCGUAGGUGGUUUUUUAAGCGCGGGGUGAAAGGCAAUAGCUUAACUAUUGUUAGCCCUGCGAACUGGGAGACUUGAGUGCUGGAGAGGAAAGCGGAAUUCCUAGUGUAGCGGUGAAAUGCGUAGAUAUUAGGAGGAACACCAGUGGCGAAGGCGGCUUUCUGGACAGUAACUGACACUGAGGCACGAAAGUGUGGGGAGCAAACAGGAUUAGAUACCCUGGUA